rnacentral:rRNA from 1 species
GAUGAACGCUGGCGGCGUGCCUAAUACAUGCAAGUCGAGCGAACAGACGAGGAGCUUGCUCCUCUGACGUUAGCGGCGGACGGGUGAGUAACACGUGGAUAACCUACCUAUAAGACUGGGAUAACUUCGGGAAACCGGAGCUAAUACCGGAUAAUAUAUUGAACCGCAUGGUUCAAUAGUGAAAGACGGUUUUGCUGUCACUUAUAGAUGGAUCCGCGCCGCAUUAGCUAGUUGGUAAGGUAACGGCUUACCAAGGCAACGAUGCGUAGCCGACCUGAGAGGGUGAUAGGCCACACUGGAACUGAGACACGGUCCAGACUCCUACGGGAGGCAGCAGUAGGGAAUCUGCCGCAAUGGGCGAAAGCUUGACGGAGCAACGCCGCGUGAGUGAUGAAGGUCUUCGGAUCGUAAAACUCUGUUAUUAGGGAAGAACAAAUGUGUAAGUAACUAUGCACGUCUUGACGGUACCUAAUCAGAAAGCCACGGCUAACUACGUG